AGCAAUGUCUGGGAAACUGCCUGAUGGAGGGGGAUAACUACUGGAAACGGUAGCUAAUACCGCAUAACGUCGCAAGACCAAAGAGGGGGACCUUAGGGCCUCUUGCCAUCGGAUGUGCCCAGAUGGGAUUAGCUAGUAGGUGGGGUAAUGGCUCACCUAGGCGACGAUCCCUAGCUGGUCUGAGAGGAUGACCAGCCACACUGGAACUGAGACACGGUCCAG
rnacentral:rRNA from 1 species